rnacentral:rRNA from 1 species
UACGGGGGGGGCAAGCGUUGUUCGGAAUUACUGGGCGUAAAGGGCUCGUAGGCGGCCAACUAAGUCGGAUGUGAAAUCCCCAGGCUUAACCUGGGAACUGCAUCCGAUACUGGAUGGCUUGAAUCCGGGAGAGGGAUGCAGAAUUCCAGGUGUAGCGGUGAAAUACGUAGAUAUCUGGAGGAAUACCGGUGGCGAAGGCGGCAUCCUGGACCGGUAUUGACGCUGAGGCGCGAAAGCCAGGGGAGCAAAGCGGG